GCCUGCCUAGCUCAAUCGGAUAGAGCGUCAGACUUUUACGAGCAGUUUGACUGUUUGGAGGCAAUCUGAAGGCUGCGGGUUCGACCCCCGCGGUGGGCU